rnacentral:rRNA from 1 species
AUUGAACGCUGGCGGCAUGCUUUACACAUGCAAGUCGAACGGCAGCACGGGUGCUUGCACCUGGUGGCGAGUGGCGAACGGGUGAGUAAUGCAUCGGAACGUGCCCGAUGAGUGGGGGAUAGCCCGGCGAAAGCCGGAUUAAUACCGCAUACGGCCCUUAGGGGGGAAAGCGGGGGAUCUUCGGACCUCGCGCUAUUGGAGCGGCCGAUGUCGGAUUAGCUAGUAGGUGAGGUAAAGGCUCACCUAGGCGACGAUCCGUAGCUGGUCUGAGAGGAUGAUCAGCCACACUGGGACUGAGACACGGGCCCAGACUCCUACGGGAGGCAGCAGUGGGGAAUUUUGGACAAUGGGCGCAAGCCUGAUCCAGCCAUG